UGGGGAAUAUUGCACAAUGGGCGCAAGCCUGAUGCAGCCAUGCCGCGUGUAUGAAGAAGGCCUUCGGGUUGUAAAGUACUUUCAGUCGGGAGGAAGGUGGUAAGGUUAAUAACCUUGGCAAUUGACGUUACCGACAGAAGAAGCACCGGCUAACUCCGUGCCAGCAGCCGCGGUAAUACGGAGGGUGCAAGCGUUAAUCGGAAUUACUGGGCGUAAAGCGCACGCAGGCGGUUUAAUAAGUCGAAUGUUAAAGAUCGGGGCUCAACCCCGCAAAGCAUUGGAAACUGAUAAACUUGAGUAGUGGAGAGGAAAGUGGAAUUCCUAGUGUAGUGGUGAAAUACGUAGAUAUUAGGAGGAAUACCAGUAGCGAAGGCGACUUUCUGGACACAAACUGACGCUGAGGUACGAAAGCGUGGGGAGCAAACAGG
rnacentral:rRNA from 1 species